UGCAGUCGAGCGGUAACAGAUCCAGCUUGCUGGAUGCUGACGAGCGGCGGACGGGUGAGUAAUGCAUAGGAAUCUGCCCGAUAGUGGGGGAUAACCUGGGGAAACCCAGGCUAAUACCGCAUACGUCCUACGGGAGAAAGGGGGCUCCGGCUCCCGCUAUGGGAUGAGCCUAUGUCGGAUUAGCUAGUUGGUGAGGUAACGGCUCACCAAGGCCACGAUCCGUAGCUGGUCUGAGAGGAUGAUCAGCCACAUCGGGACUGAGACACGGCCCGAACUCCUACGGGAGGCAGCAGUGGGGAAUAUUGGACAAUGGGGGAAACCCUGAUCCAGCCAUGCCGCGUGUGUGAAGAAGGCCCUCGGGUUGUAAAGCACUUUCAGCGAGGAAGAACGCCUAGCGGUU
rnacentral:rRNA from 1 species